UGAGGCGCCCGGGUUCGAAAGUGUUAGGCAACCUUUUCCUCCAAUUAUUAUUUAUAUUCAGUUACAAUCUGAUACAAGUUUACUCCCUCAUCUUCGCUAGAAUAUCUUUAGAGCAAUCGGUUAAUCUGUUCGAUCGCUUUCCAUAGGUGCGAAGUUCAAAUACUGAUAGGCCACUUUUUUCAAUUAUAUUUUUGUUGUGUUACGAAAUGAAAUAGCUUUACUCCUUCAUCUGUACA
rnacentral:lncRNA from 1 species